rnacentral:rRNA from 1 species
AUGGGGGCGGAGGAGGCGGUGGUGGAGCUGCUGGACGCGCCGCCGCUCCCUGAGGCGGCGAGGCUGACGAGGGAUGCAAUCGACGACGCGAUCAGCAGCGGGAACCCGGAGUGCGUGGUGCUGGUGCUGCGAUGCGACGCGCCCGCCAAGGAGCGGAAUGCGGCCAUCAAGCGCCUGCCGGAGAUCUCUGCCGCCGCGAGGGCGAAAGGGCUUAAUUUGAUUAUUGCAUUGACUUUUAAGAAGUCCGUGAGUUCAGUAAGGCAAGCUGAAGAGCUUCUAAGAGAGGUUUCGUUCAGGGCAAGGACGGAUUGUGUAUACUUCAUCGAGAACUACACCUGGAGCAACAGUGGCUCCAACCUCCUCCACCCCCCUGUCAUCAAGAAUGACUUUGGGACAGAUUUUACCGUGCUGACAAUCAUUCGACAGUGUCUUGAGUUCAUCAAGCUAAAUAGGAGUCAAAAGGAUAAGAAAGACCCCAAGCAGGCAGAGACACGGGCAGAUGCUAAAACAGCCCUUAAAGUAUGA